rnacentral:rRNA from 1 species
CAGAACCUUACCAGCUUUUGACAUGUCCGGUAUGAUCGCCAGAGAUGGCUUUCUUCCCGCAAGGGGCCGGAACACAGGUGCUGCAUGGCUGUCGUCAGCUCGUGUCGUGAGAUGUUGGGUUAAGUCCCGCAACGAGCGCAACCCUCGCCUUCAGUUGCCAUCAUUCAGUUGGGCACUCUGGAGGGACUGCCGGUGAUAAGCCGGAGGAAGGUGGGGAUGACGUCAAGUCCUCAUGGCCCUUACAGGCUGGGCUACACACGUGCUACAAUGGCGGUGACAGAGGGACGCGAAUGGGCGACCAUAAGCAAAUCUCAAAAAGCCGUCUCAGUUCGGAUUGCACUCUGCAACUCGAGUGCAUGAAGUUGGAAUCGCUAGUAAUCGCGGAUCAGCACGCCGCGGUGAAUACGUUCCCGGGCCUUGUACACACCGCCCGUCACACCAUGGGAGUUGGUUUUACCCGAAGGCGUUCUGCUAACCGCAAGGAGGCGGACGACCACGGUAGGGUCAGCGACUGGGGUGAAGUCGUAACAGGGUAGCCGUA